UGUUUUAAACAGUAAUAAUAAUACAUUUGGGGUUUAUAAGUAGAAGCAAAAUGUCUGCUAACAAUAGCACAAGGGCUGGGAGGUGGGAAAUGGAACCAGGCAGUUGUAAGAUUAUUAAAUUACAUGGGAAGUGAUGCCAUAUUAUUUGUUAUUCUUGGGUAUUCUUGAUAAGUUAAUGCUGUGUAUUGUCAACUCCAGAGCAACCAUUUAUAAAAACAAACAUGAUUCAUACACCACUUACAAAGCUAACAAAAAUGUAAUAUAAACCCAUGCACACUGUGUUCCAGCAGAACUUCAAAACAAUUCUUAAAUGAUGACUUGGUGGGAAUUAGUUACUAGAAUUUUCCUUCAUGGCCUUGCAGACCGAGGACUUCCGCCAGCUUUCGCAUGGGAGAGCGUCCUGGCACGGGGUGUCUUUGACGUGGGCAGACUGAGGACUUCAGCCAGCUUUCAAAUGGGAGAGCGUCCUGGCACGGGGUGUCGUUGACGUGGGCAGACCGAGGACUUCAGCCAGCUUUCACAUGGGAGAGCGUCCUGGCACGGGGCGUCGUUGAUGUGGGCCAUGAGUUUGCACCUUUUCAGAUGGUGGGAAGCCACUCACAAGUGACAGAGGGUGUCACAUGAUACACAAAACCGAAAGGAAGCCCUAAUCCCGGCAGGAAAGGUCUGUGUGAGGAUUCACCAAGAGUGGACGUCCAGGAGUGUGUGACGCCGGAGCCGGUGUGCCCCACGCAUGUGUAGGUGCUCACAGGCACACGCCUGCACGGAGGGCUGUCUGUCCAGGCCACUGCUGUGUGGUGGCCUCACUGCUGCCUUCCUUAAUGGCUGAUAACACUAAACUCUUUGAUGUAUCCAAUUCCCUGCUUUAUUUUAACUCAGAUUAUUCCUUACUGUGCCUUUGGCCAUCAAAUAUUGACUGCAUGAUAACAUUGUACUUUGUUUCUGUUGUCAGUGCAUGACGUUUUCCACUCUCUAGGGAGUUCCACUGCCAAGAGAACACAACUCAUCACCAGAGGAGACAGGAUCGGGGAGGAGGCGGCCAGGCCAGCCCUGGCCCCGGCCACAGGAACACUGGCGUCCCCUGGCUGGGAAAGGACAAGGUGUGCUCCAGUUCUGGCCACGUCUGUCUGGUUUCCCCAUCAGAGGUGGUGGCUUGUGAACUAGGAGCGCUCGAGUCCCAGCGCCGUGGCCCAGUCACCAGACGGUGGGUGGGGAGCCGGGCUGGGCCCUCGCCCUGGCCACAGUGCAGCCCGCUCCACUAGCUGGGACCCGGCUUCCUGCAAAACCAAAGCUCAAGGCUGGGCAGGGCAGCCAGCUGUGUCCCAACUCACCCCAAGUUUCUGCACUUCAUGUCCGAGCAGAUGGGCUUUCAGAGGGGACGCUGCCCUAGGGUUUCACAGCCACUUAUGCUGAGUGAUGCCCAAACCUGUAACUCCCAGUCACUGAUCCUAGGAUCCUUGAACCACAGGAUGCUGACCUCAUUUCCCCACCCAUUGGUGGAUGCGUUCAUCAGAGUCUUCCAGAAACCGCGGUGGGGGGAUCGCCCAGGAUCGCACUCAGGAAUCCCGCCGAGGGAGCUCUGUGAAUGCAAUUUAGGCGACCGCACUUUCUAAUGUUUGAAAUAUUGCGUCUAAGGAGACAUUUCUCUAAAUGUCACAGGAGACACAUGCAUGUUUAAGAAAUGUACAUGAAAGAACAUACUUGAGUAUAUGCCAAGUAUGAUGACCUAGCUAUGAUAAUUUUCAAAAAUGUAGCAAUCGUAUUGUCAGAAACUAUUAUUUUAGAGGUUAGAAUGUUGACCACCCAUUUGUUUUUAAAUUAUUAUUAUACUUUAAGUUUUAGGGUACAUGUGCACAAUGUGCAGGUUUGUUACAUAUGUAUACAUGUGCCAUGUUGGUGUGCUGCACCCACUAACUCGUCAUCUAGCAUUACGUAUAUCUCCUAAUGCUAUCCCUCCCCCCUCCCCCCACCCCACAACAGUCCCCGGAGUGUGAUGUUCCCCUUCCUGUGUCCAUGUGUUCUCAUUGUUCAAUUCCCACCUAUGAGUGAGAACAUGUGGUGUUUGAUUUUCUGUCCUUACGAUAGUUUGCUGAGAAUGGUGGUUUCCAGCUUCAUCCAUGUCCCUACAAAGGACAUGAACUCAUCCUUUUUUAUGGCUGCAUAGUAUUCCAUGGUGUAUAUGUGCCA
rnacentral:lncRNA from 1 species